UAUCAAACAUUAAAUUAACAAUUAUAUCUUAUCAUUUAUCUUAAUCAAGUAAGUGAUAUCUGCACUACACAACUACAAAAUAUAACUAUAAAUUACGCGGUCCUUGGCCAAUUAAUUCCAAGUUUUUAAAAAAUACAUUAAUUAGUUAUCAGUAUUAAUUAUGUCCGCUACAUGCUAACGUCUGCUACAUGCUACAUUAAAGGGUAUUGUAUUAUAAUCAUGGAAUAAAAUCAUCACAGGAAUUGCAGUGAAAAAUCAGCGGACAACGAAGACCAAAUUCUUGUCGAAUGUCUGUCAGGUUUGGGUCAUAAAAUGCAAAAUUACAAACCAA